AGAAAAUAAUUGUCUUUGCCAUUCUCAGUAUGAUUUUUAUGGCUGCAUCACUCCCUGCUUUGCAAAAGUUGCCUAGAAUUGGGUAAGGGUGGGGAAGAAAUCACAAGCAAAGUGCCAAGGCAUAUGCACAUUUAGUUUGUAAACCUGACUUUAAAGCUGUGAUUUCUUUUUCCUGUCCAAUGGCAGCCAAUUUUGGAAUCAGGUGCUGUAGAGCUACUUUGUGGAUUGACCCAGAGUGAAAAUCCUGCUUUACGAGUGAAUGGAAUUUGGGCUUUAAUGAACAACUUUAUGAUAUCAGCCAGGAAGUUCUUACCAUACUUUAUAGAUGAAGUAAACUGAGACACAGAAUGAUUAUUUUAUUUUUUUAUUGGCAAAUAAAAAUUAUAUGUGUUUAUAAUGUACAACACAAUGCUUUGAAAGAUAUAUAGGUGGUGGAAUGGCUAAUUUGAGCUAAUUUACAUAUGUAUUACCUCACAUACUUAGCCAUUUUUUGCAGAAUGAUUAAAUAACUUGUCCAAGGUAACAAAAUUGGUGCAUAAAUACUUACUAAUUUUUUAACAGUUUUUAGUAAAUAAUUUAUAAUAGAUUCUAAAACUUUAUGAGGUUAGAGAAUUAUUUCUCCUUAAGAUUAUUAAACUUUUCUUGAGAUUGAAAAUAGAAAGAUCCUAAAUUGAUUUUUAAAACAUAUGUAUUCUAUGUACAAUUUAAUUGCUCUGUACCAGACAUUAAGCUGGGUGUUUUAUUUUUAUCUCUAAUUCUUAUUUUAAGAUAUAUUGGUAUAUAUUCACCUUACAAAUGGAAAACUAGGACUUAGGAAGGGUAAGCCAAUUGUGAGGGUGAAGGCCUCACAGCUAAUACUGGAAAUGGGUUCAGAACCUUUUCUAAGCCUGUAUUUUUCUCCCUGUUCCAUGCUGUAUCUGCCAUGUUUUUAUACAGACUUUGGGAUAGAAAUAAUUAUCUUCUAA